GAAAAUCCUGUAGCAUUCUACUAAGAAAACAACCUUCUGAACAAUUUAGUAUAUUAUCUCAAGGUUUUUUACAUUUGAAAUAAGCAUUAAUAGUGCUCAUUACUCAUCAGCUUCCAGGUGUGGGAGAACCAUUGUAGCUUAGUUAUUGGCAUUGAAAAUGACCAAACAUCAGGGACGCUGGUAGUGUCUUCUGUUGGCUGUAGCGCCUGGGUAGCCCCAGAUCGCCCUGGGGAGUGUCCCGGACUCAAACUGCUACUGGGCACAGGGAGCAAGAGCCUGCGAGACUGUGCCUCCAGGUCAGGUCUAGAUUUGGGCUCGCAGCAGUGGAAGAGCCAGCUCCCCGGCCAGGAGGCGGGAAGGGCCAGUCGCCGCCGCCUCUUGGAAAAUCCUUGCUGCGCUGUGACCAGCUUGCACACUCGGCAGCCGCCUCUCCGCUUCACGCACCCUCCGAAAAACCUCCGGGUGUGUCAGGAUGGCCGAGUGGUCUAAGGCGCCAGACUCAAGCCUUGCUUCCUCCUGUUUGAGGGUUCUGGUCUCCGAAUGGAGGCGUGGGUUCGAAUCCCACUUCUGACACAGAGCUCAUCAAAAUCUAAAGACUUGGAAUUCAAAAGGUGAAAAUUACACUGUUUGAGACCAGAGAAAGAGAAGCAAAAGACAGACAAUACGAAAGGUUCCACCGAGAUUUGAACUCGGAUCGCUGGAUUCAGAGUCCAGAGUGCUAACCAUUACACCAUGGAACCCUUCCGGACAAGCUCUGGACACACUGUCCAUCUGAGGUCUCUUUGUACUCUUGAAAAAUGAACUAUAUCAAACAAAUUGAAAAUGAAAUAUCACUUUAAAUAAAAGCUCUGUAUUUGCAUCCUAA